rnacentral:misc_RNA from 1 species
UGGCUCUCGCAUCGAUGAAGAACGCAGCGAAAUGCGAUAAGUAAUGUGAAUUGCAGAAUUCAGUGAAUCAUCGAAUCUUUGAACGCACCUUGCGCCCCUUGGUAUUCCGAGGAGCAUGCCUGUUUGAGUGUCAUGAAAUCUUCAACCUACAAUCUUUGUAGGCUUGGAUUUGGAGGUUUGUCGGCUUAGACCGGCUCCUCUUAAAUACAUUAGCUUGAUUCCUUGCGGAUCGGCUCUCGGUGUGAUAAUUGUCUACGCCGUGACCGUGAAGCGUUUGGUGAGCUUCUAACUGUCUUGUAUAAGACAACAAUAUGACCUCUGACCUCAAAUCAGGUAGGACUACCCGCUGA